rnacentral:siRNA from 1 species
UAUCGAUGACAUGACACUCAGAUAA